AUGUUAUUCUUUCUACGAUGUAACCUUUGCAAGUAUAGCAUUUGAAGUUUAGUUGCCGGUGAUGUGUGUCUCAAAGUUCCUUGCUGAGUUUAGGAUAAAGAGACAGACGAGGAGGAACCCAAUUACUAGAGGGGACACCAUUAGGAUGAAAGAGCAGAAGUAUGGAAAUGGGAAUGGGGAACUGUAUCCACCCACAGAAUUGUCAACAGGUAUGCACGUAGCAUCUGCGAUUCCGGGAGAGCUGACAGGCUAGGAGCCAGCUGUAGCUUACACUUGAAAAUAAUAAUAAUAGCCACUUAGGGGUAUGGAAUUAUUUAUCACCACUGGUGGAAUUUUUGCCAAAGGCAAGAAAUGAAAACAUCCGAUGAAAAAUGUCCUCAGUCCACAGCCCAUCACACUGACACACUGUACAAACUGAUUAACUCUCUGGCCAAGAAUAAACAGUACUAUAGUUAUUACUAGGAUACGCAAUUCUAGAUCUACAAAAGAAAAAAUGGACAAGGCAAAUCAGAAAGCAA
rnacentral:lncRNA from 1 species